UGGUGCCCGUGGAGGUCUGGACCUGAGGCCUGUGCUCAUCACGUGGAUAGAAAACACUCUGACACCAUUCUGGAGAUGUUGACUGUGACCUCAGAGGCCAACUGGACCACACAGCUGCAGCAGGAGUGAGGGAGAGGAGUCUUCAUCCAGCUUCAAAGAAAACAUCCAGUUAGAAACCCUGCAGCAACCCGACCCAAAACUGUGUCUUCUUGUUGGCCUCAACGUUGAAGUGUCAAACGUCCAACAUCUGGAAAGGAAACCACGCCAGUGUACUGUGAUGUUUCACCAACAUGUGGCAGACGCUGGUCCUGCCUUUCAUGCUGACAUCAGCAGAGAGCCCCGCCUACCUCAAAGCCUCCCCUGUCAUGUAUUGAUCAGGAUGAUUAUGAAGAUGAGCGAGUGCAAAUAAGACUGUAAAAGUCCACGAGCAGAAUGUUUGGAUGCUUUCUGAUGAUUCAUGAAUAUCAUGAGAGUGUUUGUGUGUUUUGUCUUUUCUUUGCUGACGUUUGUUACUAACAAAGACAAUUUACGCUCUGUGUGUGUU